GAUGAACGCUGGCGGCGUGCCUAAUACAUGCAAGUCGAGCGAACGGACGAGAAGCUUGCUUCUCUGAUGUUAGCGGCGGACGGGUGAGUAACACGUGGAUAACCUACCUAUAAGACUGGGAUAACUUCGGGAAACCGGAGCUAAUACCGGAUGAUAUUUUGAACCGCAUGGUUCAAAAGUGAAAGACGGUCUUGCUGUCACUUAUAGAUGGAUCCGCGCUGCAUUAGCUAGUUGGUAAGGUAACGGCUUACCAAGGCAACGAUGCAUAGCCGACCUGAGAGGGUGAUCGGCCACACUGGAACUGAGACACGGUCCUGACUCCUACGGGAGGCAGCAGUAGGGAAUCUUCCGCAAUGGGCGAAAGCCUGACGGAGCAACGCCGCGUGAGUGAUGAAGGUCUUCGGAUCGUAAAACUCUGUUAUUAGGGAAGAACAUAUGUGUAAGUAACUGUGCACAUCUUGACGGUACCUAAUCAGAAAGCCACGGCUAACUACGUG
rnacentral:rRNA from 1 species